rnacentral:rRNA from 1 species
ACCUACGGGAGGCAGCAGUGGGGAAUAUUGCACAAUGGGGGAAACCCUGAUGCAGCGACGCCGCGUGAGUGAAGAAGCGCCUCGGCGCGUAAAGCUCUGUCAGCAGGAACGAUAAUGACGGUACCUGAAGAAGAAGCCCCGGCUAACUACGUGCCAGCAGCCGCGGUAAUACGUAGGGGGCAAGCGUUAUCCGGAUUUACUGGGUGUAAAGGGAGCGUAGACGGCAAUGCAAGUCCGGAGUGGAAUGCGGCAGCUCAACUGCCGAACUGCUCUGGAAACUGUAUGGCU